GCCGUGGUGGUUCAGUGGUAGAAUUCUUGCCUUCCAUGUGGAGGACCCUGGUUCGAUUCCCGGCCAAUGCA
rnacentral:tRNA from 1 species